UACGAAGGGGGCUAGCGUUGCUCGGAAUCACUGGGCGUAAAGGGCGCGUAGGCGGAUCUUUAAGUCGGGGGUGAAAGCCUGAGGCUCAACCUCAGAAUUGCCUUCGAUACUGGGGAUCUCGAGUCCGGAAGAGGUGAGUGGGAACUGCGAGUGUAGAGGUGAAAUUCGUAGAUAUUCGCAAGAACACCAGUGGCGAAGGCGGCUCACUGGUCCGGUACUGACGCUGAGGUGCGAAAGCGUGGGGAGCAAACAGGG
rnacentral:rRNA from 1 species